GUGACUGCGUACCUUUUGUAUAAUGGGUCAGCGACUUAUAUUCUGUAGCAAGGUUAACCGAAUAGGGGAGCCGAAGGGAAACCGAGUCUUAACUGGGCGUUAAGUUGCAGGGUAUAGACCCGAAACCCGGUGAUCUAGCCAUGGGCAGGUUGAAGGUUGGGUAACACUAACUGGAGGACCGAACCGACUAAUGUUGAAAAAUUAGCGGAUGACUUGUGGCUGGGGGUGAAAGGCCAAUCAAACCGGGAGAUAGCUGGUUCUCCCCGAAAGCUAUUUAGGUAGCGCCUCGUGAAUUCAUCUCCGGGGGUAGAGCACUGUUUCGGCAAGGGGGUCAUCCCGACUUACCAACCCGAUGCAAACUGCGAAUACCGGAGAAUGUUAUCACGGGAGACACACGGCGGGUGCUAACGUCCGUCGUGAAGAGGGAAACAACCCAGACCGCCAGCUAAGGUCCCAAAGUCAUGGUUAAGUGGGAAACGAUGUGGGAAGGCCCAGACAGCCAGGAUGUUGGCUUAGAAGCAGCCAUCAUUUAAAGAAAGCGUAAUAGCUCACUGGUCGAGUCGGCCUGCGCGGAAGAUGUAACGGGGCUAAACCAUGCACCGAAGCUGCGGCAGCGACACUAUGUGUUGUUGGGUAGGGGAGCGUUCUGUAAGCCUGUGAAGGUGUACUGUGAGGUAUGCUGGAGGUAUCAGAAGUGCGAAUGCUGACAUAAGUAACGAUAAAGCGGGUGAAAAGCCCGCUCGCCGGAAGACCAAGGGUUCCUGUCCAACGUUAAUCGGGGCAGGGUGAGUCGACCCCUAAGGCGAGGCCGAAAGGCGUAGUCGAUGGGAAACAGGUUAAUAUUCCUGUACUUGGUGUUACUGCGAAGGGGGGACGGAGAAGGCUAUGUUGGCCGGGCGACGGUUGUCCCGGUUUAAGCGUGUAGGCUGAUUUUCCAGGCAAAUCCGGAAAAUCAAGGCUGAGGCGUGAUGACGAGGCACUACGGUGCUGAAGCAACAAAUGCCCUGCUUCCAGGAAAAGCCUCUAAGCAUCAGGUAACAUCAAAUCGUACCCCAAACCGACACAGGUGGUCAGGUAGAGAAUACCAAGGCGCUUGAGAGAACUCGGGUGAAGGAACUAGGCAAAAUGGUGCCGUAACUUCGGGAGAAGGCACGCUGAUAUGUAGGUGAAGCGACUUGCUCGUGGAGCUGAAAUCAGUCGAAGAUACCAGCUGGCUGCAACUGUUUAUUAAAAACACAGCACUGUGCAAACACGAAAGUGGACGUAUACGGUGUGACGCCUGCCCGGUGCCGGAAGGUUAAUUGAUGGGGUUAGCGGUAACGCGAAGCUCUUGAUCGAAGCCCCGGUAAACGGCGGCCGUAACUAUAACGGUCCUAAGGUAGCGAAAUUCCUUGUCGGGUAAGUUCCGACCUGCACGAAUGGCGUAAUGAUGGCCAGGCUGUCUCCACCCGAGACUCAGUGAAAUUGAACUCGCUGUGAAGAUGCAGUGUACCCGCGGCAAGACGGAAAGACCCCGUGAACCUUUACUAUAGCUUGACACUGAACAUUGAGCCUUGAUGUGUAGGAUAGGUGGGAGGCUUUGAAGUGUGGACGCCAGUCUGCAUGGAGCCGACCUUGAAAUACCACCCUUUAAUGUUUGAUGUUCUAACGUUGGCCCGUUAUCCGGGUUGCGGACAGUGUCUGGUGGGUAGUUUGACUGGGGCGGUCUCCUCCUAAAGAGUAACGGAGGAGCACGAAGGUUGGCUAAUCCUGGUCGGACAUCAGGAGGUUAGUGCAAUGGCAUAAGCCAGCUUGACUGCGAGCGUGACGGCGCGAGCAGGUGCGAAAGCAGGUCAUAGUGAUCCGGUGGUUCUGAAUGGAAGGGCCAUCGCUCAACGGAUAAAAGGUACUCCGGGGAUAACAGGCUGAUACCGCCCAAGAGUUCAUAUCGACGGCGGUGUUUGGCACCUCGAUGUCGGCUCAUCACAUCCUGGGGCUGAAGUAGGUCCCAAGGGUAUGGCUGUUCGCCAUUUAAAGUGGUACGCGAGCUGGGUUUAGAACGUCGUGAGACAGUUCGGUCCCUAUCUGCCGUGGGCGCUGGAGAACUGAGGGGGGCUGCUCCUAGUACGAGAGGACCGGAGUGGACGCAUCACUGGUGUUCGGGUUGUCAUGCCAAUGGCACUGCCCGGUAGCUAAAUGCGGAAGAGAUAAGUGCUGAAAGCAUCUAAGCACGAAACUUGCCCCGAGAUGAGUUCUCCCUGACUCCUUGAGAGUCCUGAAGGAACGUUGAAGACGACGACGUUGAUAGGCCGGGUGUGUAAGCGCAGCGAUGCGUUGAGCUAACCGGUACUAAUGAACCGUGAGGCUUAACCUU
rnacentral:rRNA from 1 species